CCAAUCUGGGUAAUAAAAGAACGUGGAUGUAUGGAGAUAAGAUUCGAUCUCCAUCGAGUGAAGAGGUCUGAGCCCCCCGUGGCUGACCAGGUGGAGCUGAUGCGCCAGUGACGCUCGGCUGCCUCUCUGCAUGUCCAGGUGAGAAAUAUGGGAGGCUCCUCAGCCCCCCAAAGGAGCCUGGCAGGGCC